GCGUUGCAUGGCUGACUAGCUAUUUUUCUAAGUUUUAGAGAUUAAGUUCCGUUAUUAAUAACAGAGCAUUCACUGGCUAAGAUUACAUUUUAUUACCUUUGGGGCUCACUCUUGGAGCAAUUCCGCUUUUUAAAUAUUUAGUAUAUAAUACUAAAUAUUAUAAAAAAAAAGGGACCAAGUUUAGCUUCAAAGUGAUUUUAAAAUUAUAUAGAAAGCUGCACAAGUCCUCAUGGCCCUAUGAUUUGGGCCUCACGUUUGCUACAAUGAUUGGCAUAAUAGAAAAACCAACCUUAGUUCAGAUUAAAUUCUGCAAUUGAAUUUAUAAAGGAGGAAUCGCGAUUAAUCGAAAAUCAGACAAGUUUCGGUGAAGUUCUUGCAUUAUUUAAACACAAAUUAUAGAAAAUAUCUAAUAUAUUUUGCUUUGGGGGUAUCCGCCACUUUUUUCUAAACCCCCCCAAUGUUUAAGUAACCUUUUUAAUUGAUCUCGUACUCACUGCCCGUCAAAUCCUUAGAGUUCUUUUGUCGUUAAAUUAUGUUAAAUACUUUUUUAGUUCAACGUAUAUAGCGAAGAGGGGAUAAUAGGGGUUAAGUCGUAACAUGGUUAGAUUUUGGGAACUAGAUCUAGAAAUAAUUAUAAUU
rnacentral:rRNA from 1 species